rnacentral:lncRNA from 1 species
GUCCAAACUAAUCUUUGGCAAUGGGAACAGGAAACUAGGGGAUGUGGAAUGGGCCCCUCUCCCCCUCCUGAGCACCAGGAUAUAUGGAAUAGAGGAGACGCCCAAAUCACACAGGCAAAGGGGACGAGAUAGCUGGAUUUUUUUUCUUCUGUUAUGGUCCCUGUCCCCGAGGGUCAUCCUUUCCACCAAGCUCAUUUCUCUCACUGGCAUGACCUCCGUGGCUUCUGAAAGUAACCUGUCAAUUAAUGAUUAAACACAUCAAUGGGUGAAUGAGGAAGGCAAACCAGGGCCUGAUCCUAAUGAAGACACUGAGAGGCAGCUCCUUUCGUCUGAGGAGGUUGAAGAGUUGCCUCAGAGCAGCCUUCCAUUCAGUCUGUGGAACUUCCAUGCACGAUACUCAGAGUCCUCUCAUCCGACUAGUCACCUACAUACACUUUGAACUGCUUUUAG